rnacentral:rRNA from 1 species
GCCUACCAAGGCGACGACGGGUAGCCGGCCUGAGAGGGCGACCGGCCACACUGGGACUGAGACACGGCCCAGACUCCUACGGGAGGCAGCAGUGGGGAAUAUUGCGCAAUGGGCGAAAGCCUGACGCAGCGACGCCGCGUGGGGGAUGAAGGCCUUCGGGUUGUAAACCCCUUUCGGCAGGGACGAAGCGAAAGUGACGGUACCUGCAGAAGAAGCGCCGGCUAACUACGUGCCAGCAGCCGCGGUAACACGUAGGGCGCAAGCGUUGUCCGGAAUCAUUGGGCGUAAAGAGCUCGUAGGCGGUCUGUUGCGUCCGCUGUGAAAACUCGGGGCUUAACCCCGAGCUUGCAGUGGAUACGGGCAGACUAGAGGUAGGUAGGGGAGAAUGGAAUUCCCGGUGUAGCGGUGAAAUGCGCAGAUAUCGGGAGGAACACCGGUGGCGAAGGCGGUUCUCUGGGCCUUACCUGACGCUGAGGAGCGAAAGCGUGGGGAGCGAACAGGAUUAGAUACCCUGGUAGUCCACGCCGUAAACGUUGGGCGCUAGGUGUGGGGUCCUUCCACGGACUCCGUGCCGCAGCUAACGCA